rnacentral:lncRNA from 1 species
UGGCAGAGAGAUCAGGAUGGGGGCUGUCAGAGCCUGGCUCUCUUUCCGUGUGAAGAGACACCAAGCAGUCCCAAACUCUCCACACAGAUGAAGAGAAAGCUCCCGGGCCUGGGACAGGCAGGAACAAUUUGGGUAACUGGGAACAUACACCUUCUGCUUGCUGAGGAAUAGGGGUGGCAUAAAUCAAUCCUCAAGGAGAUUACACCAGAGCAAAAGGCGCUGUGAUGACACAGCCCAUCAGUCAGCAGCCGCCCUCAUAGCCAAAACCAAGCUCCAUGCCCUGGUGCUGGGAGAGGAGAUGGAGCAUCCCGGGGCACCUUCCAGUGAGAACAUCAAAGGAUAGACUGGGUGGUGAGAUCUGGAGCCAGUUCUGCCCCUAUAAGCCCAGAUGUUAAAAAGAGGCUGUGUCUGUGUGCAGGGAUGUGAUCAAACAAGACCUCCAGCAAAGCUGAUGGGAAAUUCCAAUUUGGGUCACUUCUUUGGAAGAAAAAAGGUCCUCUUCUGGGAAAAAAAAGAAACUAAAGAAAACUUGUUUAGAGGUAUCACCUUUCCCAAAUGGUGGAGCGUGUUUAAGAAAAGGAAAGAAAGGAUGAAUAUGUCAGAGAUUUCACUAUGAAGAAUCUAAACCAAAAAAUGGAGCAAUGGAAAUCUCCAGACUGAUCUUCUGAAC